GACGAACGCUGGCGGCGUGCUUAACACAUGCAAGUCGAACGGAAAGGCCCUGCUUGCAGGGUGCUCGAGUGGCGAACGGGUGAGUAACACGUGGGUGAUCUGCCCCUUACUUUGGGAUAAGCCUGGGAAACUGGGUCUAAUACUGGAUAGGACCAUGCUGUAGGUGGUGUGGUGGAAAGAUUAGUUUCGGUAAGGGAUGAGCUCGCGGCCUAUCAGCUUAUUGGUGGGGUAAUGGCCUACCAAGGCGUCGACGGGUAGCCGGCCUGAGAGGGUGGACGGCCACAUUGGGACUGCGAUACGGCACAGACUCCUACGGGAGGCAGCAGUGGGGAAUAUUGCACAAUGGGCGCAAGCCUGAUGAAGCGACGCCGCGUGGGGGAUGACGGCCUUCGGGUUGUAAACUCCUUUCAGCCAUGACGAAGCCCUUGUGGUGACGGUAGUGGUAGAAGAAGCACCGGCUAACUACGUG
rnacentral:rRNA from 1 species